GUAGGGGUGCAAGCGUUAUCCGGAAUCAUUGGGCGUAAAGCGUUCGUAGGGUGGUUUGGAAAGUUUGUAGUUAAAUCUGGUCGCUCAACGAUCAACUCGCUGCAAAAACUCCCAAGCUAGAGAUUGGCAGAGGCAACUGGAAUUCCACAUGUAGGGGUAAAAUCCGUUGAUAUGUGGAGGAACACCAAAAGCGAAGGCAGGUUGCUGGGCCAUUUCUGACACUGAGGAACGAAAGCGUGGGGAGCAAACAGGAUUAGAUACCCUGGUAGUCCACGCCGUAAACGAUGGAUACUCGAUGUAGGGAGGAAUCGACCCCUCUCUGUGUCCAAGCUAACGCGUUAAGUAUCCCGCCUGGGGAGUACGGUCGCAAGAUUA
rnacentral:rRNA from 1 species